GCCGGGAUGGCGGAAUUGGCAGACGCGCCGGACUCAAAAUCCGGUGGUGGCGACACCGUGCGGGUUCGACCCCCGCUCCCGGCA
rnacentral:tRNA from 1 species